rnacentral:rRNA from 1 species
CCUACGGGCGACUGCAGUGGGGCAUAUUGCACAAUGGGGGAAACCCUGAUGCAGCGACGCCGCGUGAGUGAAGAAGUAUUUCGGUACGUAAGGCUCUAUCAGCAGGGAAGAAAAUGACGGUACCUGAAUAAGAAGCCCCGGCUAACUACGUGCCAGCAGCCGCGGUAGUACGUAGGGGGCAAGCGUGAUCCGGCUUUACUGGGUGUAACGGGAGCGUAGACGGCAGCGCAAGUCUGGAGUGAAAUCCCAUGGCUUAACCAUGGAACUGCUGUGGAAACUGUGCAGCUAGAGUGCAGGAGAGGUAAGCGGAAUUCCUAGUGGAGCGGUGAAAUGCGUAGAUAUUAGGAGGAACACCAGUGGCGAAGGCGGCUUACUGGACUGUAACUGACGUUGAGGCUCGAAAGCGUGGGGAGCAAACAGGAUUAGAUACCCUAGUAGUC